CCUACGGGUGGCAGCAGUGAGGAAUAUUGGUCAAUGGGCGCGAGCCUGAACCAGCCAAGUCGCGUGAAGGAUGACUGUCCUAUGGGUUGUCAACUUCUUUUAUCGAGGCGUAAAAUACGGCACGUGUGCCUUUUCGAGAGUACCCGAAGAACAAGGAUCGUCUAACUCAGUGCCAGCAUCCGCGGUAAUACGGAGGAUGCGAGCGUUAUCCGGUUUUAUUGGGUUUAAAGGGUGCGCAGGGGGUAGAUAAGGUCAGCGGUAAAAUUUUGCGGCUAAACCUCUUAAAGCCGUUGAAACUGGUUGUCUUGAGUGAACUUGAAGUAUGCGGAAUGCGUGGUGUAGCGGUGAAAUGCAUAGAUAGCACGCAGAACUCCGAUUGCGAAGGCAGCAUAC
rnacentral:rRNA from 1 species